UGGAGCCAUCGGGUCAAACCGGAAUGAGGCCGGUGUGGCGGCGGGGGCAGCUGUCGUGGUGGCAGUUUUGGAGAAUCCUGAUGAUGCUGCAGC